GUUGACGGUGGAAUUGAACACCGGUUGCUGACGAUGGAAUUGAUCACCGGUUGCUGACGAUGGAAUUGAACAUGGGAUGAUGACGGUGGAAUUGAACGCGGGUUGAUGACGAUGGAAUUGAACGCGGGUUGAUGUCAAUGGAAUUGAACACGGGUUGAUGACGAUGGAAAUUAACACAGGUUGUUGGGGUGAAAUUGAACACGGUUUAUGAUAGUCUCGUUGAUCACGGGGUUGCUGAUGGUGGAAUUGAACACAGGUUGAUGACGGUGGAAUUGAACAGGUUGUUGGGAUGGAAUUGAACACGGGUUUCAGGCGAUGUAGUUAAAGACGGGUUGCUGACAAUGGAAUUGAACACAUUUUGAUGACGGUGGGAAUUAACACAGGUUGUUGGGGUGAAAUUGAACAUGGUUUAUGACGGGUGAAUUGAACACGAGGUUGUUGACUGUGGAAUUAAACACUGGUUGCUGACGGUGGAAUUGAACACGGGUUGAUGAUGGUGGAAUUGAACACCGGUUGCUGACAGUGGUAUUGAACACGGGUUGUCGACGGUGGAAUUGAACGCAGGUUGAUGACGGUGGAAUUGAACACGGGUUGCUGACAGUGGAAUAUAACACCGGUUGUAGACGAUGCAAUUGAACAUGGGUUGAUGACGGUGGCAUUGAACGCGGGUUGAUGACGAUGGAAUUGAACACAGGUUGCAGAUGGUGGAAUUGAACACGGGUUGAUGACGGUGGAAUUGAACAGGUUGUUGGGAUGGAAUUGAACACGGGUUUCAGGCGAUGUAGUUAAAGACGGGUUGCUGACAAUGGAAUUGAACACAUUUUGAUGACGGUGGGAAUUAACACAGGUUGUUGGGGUGAAAUUGAACAUGGUUUAUGACGGGUGAAUUGAACACGAGGUUGUUGACUGUGGAAUUAAACACUGGUUGCUGACGGUGGAAUUGAACACGGGUUGAUGAUGGUGGAAUUGAACACCGGUUGCUGACAGUGGUAUUGAACACGGGUUGUCGACGGUGGAAUUGAACGCAGGUUGAUGACGGUGGAAUUGAACACGGGUUGCUGACAGUGGAAUAUAACACCGGUUGUAGACGAUGCAAUUGAACAUGGGUUGAUGACGGUGGCAUUGAACGCGGGUUGAUGACGAUGGAAUUGAACACAGGUUGCAGAUGGUGGAAUUGAACACGGGUUGAUGACGGUGGAAUUGAACAGGUUGUUGGGAUGGAAUUGAACACGGGUUUCAGGCGAUGUAGUUAAAGACGGGUUGCUGACAAUGGAAUUGAACACAUUUUGAUGACGGUGGGAAUUAACACAGGUUGUUGGGGUGAAAUUGAACAUGGUUUAUGACGGGUGAAUUGAACACGAGGUUGUUGACUGUGGAAUUAAACACUGGUUGCUGACGGUGGAAUUGAACACGGGUUGAUGAUGGUGGAAUUGAACACCGGUUGCUGACAGUGGUAUUGAACACGGGUUGUCGACGGUGGAAUUGAACGCAGGUUGAUGACGGUGGAAUUGAACACGGGUUGCUGACAGUGGAAUAUAACACCGGUUGUAGACGAUGCAAUUGAACAUGGGUUGAUGACGGUGGCAUUGAACGCGGGUUGAUGACGAUGGAAUUGAACACAGGUUGCAGAUGGUGGAAUUGAACACGGGUUGAUGACGGUGGAAUUGAUCAUGGGUUGCUGACGGUGGAAUUGAACACGGGUUGCUGAUGGUAGAUAUGAAUAACACAGGUUGGUGAUGGUGGAAUUGAACAUGGGUGUCGGAUGGUGUAAUCGAAUACCGUUUGCUGACAGUGGAAAUGAACACGGGUUGCUGACAGUGGAAUUGAAGACGUGUUGCUGACGGCGGUAUUGAACACGGGUUGAUGACGGUGGAAAUUAGCACAGGUUGUUGAGGUGAAAUUGAACACGGGUCGUUGACGGUGGAAUUGAACAGUGGUUGCUGACGGUUGAAUUGCACACGGGUUGAUGACGGUGGAAAUUAACACAGGUUGUUGAGGUGAAAUUGAACACGGGUUGCUGACGAUGCAAUUGAACACGAUUUGAUGAUGGUGGAAAUUAACACAGUUUGUUGGGGUGAUAUUGAACACGGUUUAUGACAGUGUCAUUGUACACGAGGUUGUUGACAGUGGAAUUGAACACGGGUUGCUGACAGUGGAAUUGAACACGGGGUUGCUGACGGUGGAAUUGAACACGAGUUGCUGACAGUGGAAUUGAACACCGGUUGCUGACGGUGGAAUUGUACACGGGUUGCUAAUGUUGGAAUUGAACACGGGUUGCUUAUGGUGGAAUUGAACACGGGUUGAUGACGAUGGAAUUGAACACAGGUUGGUUACGGUGGCAUUGAACAGGGGUUGAUGACGAUGGAAUUGAACACGGGUUGCUGGCGAUGGAAUUGAACACGGGUUGAUGACGGUGGCAUGGAACAUGGGUUGGUGACGGUGGAAUUGAACAGGGGUUGAUGACGAUGGAAUUGAACACAGGUUGCUGAUGGUAGAUUUGCAUAACACAGGUUUGUGAUGGUGGAAUUGAACAUGGGUUGCGGAUGGUGUAAUCGAAUACCGUUUGCUGACAGUGGAAUUGAACAUGGGUUGCUGACAGUGGAAUUGAACAUGGGUUGAUGACGGUGGAAAUUAACACAGGUUGUUGAGGUGAAAUUGAACACGGGUUGCUGACGAUGGAAUUGAAUACGUUUUGUUGACGGUGGGAAUUAACACAGGUUGUUGGGGUGAAAUUAAACAUGGUAUGACAGUGUCAUUGAAGACGAGGUUGCUGAUGGAGGAAUUGAACACGGGUUGAUGACGGUGGAAUUGAACGCGGGUUGAUGACGAUGGAAUUGAACACAGGUUGCUGAUGGUGGAAUUGAACACGGGUUGCUGACGGUGGAAUUGAACACGGGUUGCUGAUGGUAGAUAUGAAUAACACAGGUUGGUGAUGGUGGAAUUGAACAUGGGUGGCGGAUGGUGUAAUCGAAUACCGUUUGCUGACAGUGGAAAUGAACACGGGUUGCUGACAGUGGAAUUGAAGACGGGUUGCUGACGGUGGUAUUGAACACGGGUUGAUGACGAUGGAAAUUAACACAGUUUGUUGGGGUGAUACUGAACACGGUUUAUGACAGUGUCAUUGUACACGAGGUUGUUGACAGUGGAAUUGAACACGGGUUGCUGACAGUGGAAUUGAACACGGGGUUGCUGACGGUGGAAUUGAACACGAGUUGCUGACAGUGGAAUUGAACACCGGUUGCUGACGGUGGAAUUGUACACGGGUUGCUAAUGUUGGAAUUGAACACGGGUUGCUUAUGGUGGAAUUGAACACGGGUUGAUGACGAUGGAAUUGAACACGGGUUGGUUACGGUGGCAUUGAACAGGGGUUGAUGACGAUGGAAUUGAACACGGGUUGCUGGCGAUGGAAUUGAACACGGGUUGAUGAUGGUGGCAUGGAACACGGGUUGGUGACGGUGGAAUUGAACAGGGGUUGAUGACGAUGGAAUUGAACACAGGUUGCUGAUGGUAGAUUUGAAUAACACAGGUUGGUGAUGGUGGAAUUGAACAUGGGUUGCUUAAGGUAGAUUUGCAUAACACAGGUUUCUGAUGGUGGAAUUGAACAUGGGUUGUGGAUGGUGUAAUCGAAUAACGUUUGCUGACAGUGGAAUUGAACACGGGUUGCUGACAGUGGAAUUGAAGACGGGUUGCUGA